GACGAACGCUGGCGGCAUGCCUAACACAUGCAAGUCGAACGGAGAUUAUUUCGGUAAUCUUAGUGGCGAACGGGUGAGUAACGCGUAGGCAACCUGCCCUUUAGUUGGGGACAACAUUCCGAAAGGGGUGCUAAUACCGAAUGUGACAGUUUUCUCGCAUGAGAUUACUGUGAAAGAUGGCCUCUAUUUAUAAGCUAUCGCUAAAGGAUGGGCCUGCGUCUGAUUAGCUAGUUGGUGGGGUAACGGCCUACCAAGGCGACGAUCAGUAGCCGGUCUGAGAGGAUGAACGGCCACAUUGGGACUGAGACACGGCCCAGACUCCUACGGGAGGCAGCAGUGGGGAAUCUUCCGCAAUGGGCGAAAGCCUGACGGAGCAAUGCCGCGUGAGUGAUGAAGGAAUUCGUUCCGUAAAGCUCUUUUGUUUAUGACGAAUGUGCAGACUGUGAAUAAUGACGUGUAAUGACGGUAGUAAACGAAUAAGCCACGGCUAACUACGUG
rnacentral:rRNA from 1 species